AUUGAACGCUGGCGGCAGGCCUAACACAUGCAAGUCGAGCGGAUGAAGGGAGCUUGCUCCUGGAUUCAGCGGCGGACGGGUGAGUAAUGCCUAGGAAUCUGCCUGGUAGUGGGGGAUAACGUCCGGAAACGGGCGCUAAUACCGCAUACGUCCUGAGGGAGAAAGUGGGGGAUCUUCGGACCUCACGCUAUCAGAUGAGCCUAGGUCGGAUUAGCUAGUUGGUGGGGUAAAGGCCUACCAAGGCGACGAUCCGUAACUGGUCUGAGAGGAUGAUCAGUCACACUGGAACUGAGACACGGUCCAGACUCCUACGGGAGGCAGCAGUAGGGAAUAUUCGGCAAUGGGCGAAAGCCUGAUGCAGCCACGCCGCGUGAGUGAUGAAGGUCUUCGGAUCGUAAAGCGCUGUUAGUAGGGAAGAAGAAAAGUGAAAUUAUCUCUGGAUGUCUUGACGGUACCAAAAGAGAAAGCCCCGGCUAACUACGUG
rnacentral:rRNA from 1 species